GACGAACGCUGGCGGCGUGCUUAACACAUGCAAGUCGAACGGAAAGGCCCUGCUUUUGUGGGGUGCUCGAGUGGCGAACGGGUGAGUAACACGUGAGUAACCUGCCCUUGACUUUGGGAUAACUUCAGGAAACUGGGGCUAAUACCGGAUAGGAGCUCCUGCUGCAUGGUGGGGGUUGGAAAGUUUCGGCGGUUGGGGAUGGACUCGCGCCUUAUCAGCUUGUUGGUGGGGUAGUGGCUUACCAAGGCUUUGACGGGUAGCCGGGCUGGGAGGGGGACCGGACAAACUGGGACGGGAAUGAGACACAGACUAGUACGGGAGGGAGGGGAGGAGAAGAGUACACAGGAGGAGGGAGGCAAGUGCAGCAAAGCAACGUGGGGGAAGAGGGGAAGGGGGUAGGAUAGCGAAUUCGUCUGUGACGGGAUGAGAGUGACGGUAAUGGGUGAAGAAGCACCGGCUAACUACGUG
rnacentral:rRNA from 1 species